rnacentral:rRNA from 1 species
CAGCCGCCACGGUAAUACGUAGGGUGCGAGCGUUAAUCGGAAUUACUGGGCGUAAAGCGUGCGCAGGCGGUUAUAUAAGACAGAUGUGAAAUCCCCGGGCUUAACCUGGGAACUGCAUUUGUGACUGGCGGGCUAGAGUAUGGCAGAGGGGGGUAGAAUUCCACGUGUAGCAGUGAAAUGCGUAGAGAUGUGGAGGAAUACCGAUGGCGAAGGCAGCCCCCUGGGCCAAUACUGACGCUCAUGCACGAAAGCGUGGGGAGCAAACAGGAUUAGAUACCCGUGUAGUCCCUGUCUCUUAUAC